CACAGGCCUGGGCUCGGCUCAUCGCACAGCCUCCAUCUCUGGAUGCCCUGAUUCAAGGAGAUUCAAAACCCGUGUCACUGCUGCCAUCUUCCUAGAAUCCCUUUAAAUCCUCAUGGAUUUGCUGACAUUGGGAGCAUCCUGAAAGAGUCCCCAUGCUAGGGUGGCUGCAGUAACAGGUACAAUGAGAAAUGAUGGUUCUCCCCACUCCAGAAAAAAUCAAAUCAGAUUGUGAAUUUAUUCCCUGACAUUAACACACGGCAUUACAGGAGCAUGUACAUCACAUGGUCAAUUUAUUGGCAUGAGGAUUAUGUCAUCGGGGAAUAAAUGGGAAAUUCUCAAGGUA
rnacentral:lncRNA from 1 species